AUUACACAAAUAUGAAGGCGGGCUGGAACCUCUCGGGGUUACAGCCUUGCUGAAUUAUUCACCCUUGUCUUUUGCGUACUUCUUGUUUCCUUGGUGGGUUCGCCCACCACUAGGACAAACAUAAACCUUUUGUAAUUGCAAUCAGCGUCAGUAACAAAUUAAUAAUUACAACUUUCAACAACGGAUCUCUUGGUUCUGGCAUCGAUGAAGAACGCAGCGAAAUGCGAUAAGUAGUGUGAAUUGCAGAAUUCAGUGAAUCAUCGAAUCUUUGAACGCACAUUGCGCCCUUUGGUAUUCCAAAGGGCAUGCCUGUUCGAGCGUCAUUUGUACCCUCAAGCUUUGCUUGGUGUUGGGCGUCUUGUCUCUAGCUUUGCUGGAGACUCGCCUUAAAGUAAUUGGCAGCCGGCCUACUGGUUUCGGAGCGCAGCACAAGUCGCACUCUCUAUCAGCAAAGGUCUAGCAUCCAUUAAGCCUUUUUUUCAACUUUUGACCUCGGAUCAGGUAGGGAUACCCGCUGAACUUAAGCAUAUCAAUAAGCGGAGGAAAAAAUCC
rnacentral:sRNA from 1 species